GUGUCACUUCAGCAGCACAUACAUGAAGAUUGGAAAAAUACAGAGAAAAUUAGUAUGGCCCCUGUGCAAGGAUGACAGGCAAAUCUGUGAAGCAUUCCAUUUAAAA
ensembl:snRNA U6 U6 spliceosomal RNA